CCUACGGGCGGCAGCAGUGGGGAAUAUUGGACAAUGGGGGGAACCCUGAUCCAGCCAUGCCGCGUGUGUGAAGAAGGCCCUCGGGUUGUAAAGCACGUUCAGUUAGGAAGAACGCCUGGUGGUUAAUACCCAUCAGGAAAGACAUCACUCACAGAAGAAGCACCGGCUAACUCCGUGCCAGCAGCCGCGGUAAUACGGAGGGUGUGAGCGUUAAUCGGAAUUACUGGGCGUAAAGCGCGCGUAGGUGGCUUGAUAAGCCGGUUGUGAAAGCCCCGGGCUCAACCUGGGAACGGCAUCCGGAACUGUCAAGCUAGAGUGCAGGAGAGGAAGGUAGAAUUGCCGGUGUAGCGGUGAAAUGCGUAGAGAUCGGGCGGAAUACCAGUGGCGAAGGCGGCCUUCUGGACUGACACUGACACUGAGGUGCGAAAGCGUGGGUAGCAAACAGGAUUAGAUACCCGGGUAGUC
rnacentral:rRNA from 1 species